CGGAAGCCCAGGGCCGAGGCGCAUGUCGCCGCCCUCGCUGCUCCAAGGGAAACUGCUUGGUCUCCGCGAGGGCUGGGGGGCGGCCCAGGUGUUGCUAGAGGAAAGCUGGUUGCCAGGAUACCUCCUUGAAAACAAGCAGAAUACAGACAUUGAUUUACAGACGCAUCCUCUGGUGUCCACAGCGAAGAAGGGGUCCUCAGAACCUGAGAGACCCUUCCAGGGACGUCCUCAGCUCAGGUGACUCGAGCCGCAGCUAGGCGCCUGGGCGGGCCUCGAAAGGGCCCCUUACAGGCACCUCCCACAGCGAGGGGGGAGCCUGGUCCACUUUGAACUUAACUUCUCUC
rnacentral:lncRNA from 1 species